GGGCACGACACCGGAGAGGGAGCCUGAGAAGCGGCUACCACAUCCAAGGAUGGCAGCAGGCGCGCAAAUUACCCAAUCCCGACACGGGGAGGUAGUGACAAUAAAUAACAAUACGGGGUUCUUUCGGAUCUCGUAAUUGGAAUGAGUACAAUUUAAAUCUCUUAACGAGGAACAAUUGGAGGGCAAGUCUGGUGCCAGCAGCCGCGGUAAUUCCAGCUCCAAUAGCGUAUAUUAAAGUUGUUGCAGUUAAAAAGCUCGUAGUUGAAUUUCGGGGUUAGUAGGUUGGUCAUGCCUCUGGUAUGUACUGGUCUCACUGAUUCCUCCUUCCUGAUGAACCGUAAUGCCAUUAAUUUGGUGUUGCGGGGAAUUUGGACUGUUACUUUGAAAAAAUUAGAGUGUUUAAAGCAAGCUAACGCUUGAAUACAUUAGCAUGGAAUAAUGAAAUAGGACGUUCGAUCCUAUUUUGUUGGUUUCUAGGAUUGACGUAAUGAUUAAUAGGGAUAGUUGGGGGCAUUAGUAUUCAAUUGUCAGAGGUGAAAUUCUUGGAUUUAUUGAAGACUAACUACUGCGAAAGCAUUUGCCAAGGAUGUUUUCAUUAAUCAAGAACGAAAGUUAGGGGAUCGAAGACGAUCAGAUACCGUCGUAGUCUUAACCAUAAACUAUGCCGACUAGGGAUCGGAUGAUGUUAAUUUUUUAAUGACUCAUUC
rnacentral:rRNA from 1 species